CAAUCUCCCCCUAUUUGAUUGUUAGAGUUCGACAAGCAAAUCCUUUAAGAGGAUAACUCAACUGACACAAUGAAAAAGCAUACUAUUUUAAACAGGAAAUAAUACUAAGUACAGUCUGGAUUAUAUCUUACAUUUUCCAGAAAUCAAAAGUAAAUACAAGCAGCCAUUGUUCCUCUAGCCUGAACUAAUCUUUCCUUGGUUUCUUGGCUCUUGCAUUAAUCAGCUUCUGCUCAGCUUUCCUCUUUGCAGCUUCCUCUACUCUCUUCUGAGUAAGCUUGUUUUCAAUCUCUUCAAUCCUUGCUGUAAUGGUACUUAGUGCCACUUGCUCCAGUGUAUUCUCAGGUGGAGGUUGCUCUAGAUUUUUCUUCAUCUUCUCUAAAGUUUGCAGGUGAACCAUCUUCUUCAACUUCUUAAAAGUGACAUUCAUCUCCAUUCCUUCAAUUUUCAUAAUGAUCCUUGAUGGAUGAGCACGAACUCUAGAAGUGUUGUGGACAGUCUCUACAGCUUUUCUUAUCUCCAGAAGAUCAACCAAAUCUUUGAGCACACUCUUGUCUUCCUUUACCACUGACCACUUAACAGCUGCAACUGCACGAGUGAUUCUUUUGGAAUUGAGUUUUCCAAU
rnacentral:lncRNA from 1 species